rnacentral:rRNA from 1 species
GAUGAACGCUGGCGGCGUGCCUAAUACAUGCAAGUAGAACGCUGAAGCUUGGUGCUUGCACCGAGCGGAUGAGUUGCGAACGGGUGAGUAACGCGUAGGUAACCUGCCUCUUAGCGGGGGAUAACUAUUGGAAACGAUAGCUAAUACCGCAUAAAAGUCGAUAUCGCAUGAUAUUGAUUUGAAAGGUGCAAAUGCAUCACUAAGAGAUAGACCUGCGUUGUAUUAGCUAGUUGGUGAGGUAACGGCUCACCAAGGCGACGAUACAUAGCCGACCUGAGAGGGUGAUCGGCCACACUGGGACUGAGACACGGCCCAGACUCCUACGGGAGGCAGCAGUAGGGAAUCUUCGGCAAUGGGGGCAACCCUGACCGAGCAACGCCGCGUGAGUGAAGAAGGUUUUCGGAUCGUAAAGCUCUGUUGUAAGAGAAGAACGAGUGUGAGAGUGGAAAGUUCACACUGUGACGGUAACUUACCAGAAAGGGACGGCUAACUACGUG